CCCGCAACGAGCGCAACCCUUGUCUUUAAUUGCCAUCAUUCAGUUUGGGCACUUUAAAGAGACUGCCGGUGUUAAACCGGAGGAAGGUGGGAUGACGUCAAGUCCUCAUGGCCUUUAUGCCCAGGGCUACACACGUGCUACAAUGGGUGGUACAAAGAGAUGCAAUCUCGCAAGAGCAAGCAAACCUCAAAAAGCCAUCCUCAGUUCGGAUUGGAGUCUGCAACUCGACUCCAUGAAGUCGGAAUCGCUAGUAAUCGCGGAUCAGCACGCCGCGGUGAAUACGUUCCCGGGCCUU
rnacentral:rRNA from 1 species